UUGAAAAUCUGACAACUUAAAACUACUGUGUCGUGUUUAUGCACACUGACUGUGUGCAAGUACAACGCAAGAAGUAUGUCCUGAGAAAGGUUUAAUCCCUGAGAGGGAGACAAAAAACUCCCAAAAACAAACACAACAAGAUCAGCAAGAUGCGACUUGACUAAUUAUAGUAUCUUAUCAUAAGCAUCUACCGACAGAAGAAAAACAGAAGAAUGGAGCCAGCCCUUGUGACUUAGAGAAGAUGUGUUCCAGUAAGAUAGCGGUGGGUGAACUCCAGACAAGAUUAAAGACCUGGCAAAUAACAAUUUCUGUCUCCAGCUCUGGAGAUUUCCUCCACCUGUAUACUCCCACGAGAGCACUGGGAUCAGUUGUUCUUGGUGGAACCUAGGUUAUGGCUAAAGACCAGAGGUCCUCUGGAACAAUCUCCUCCAAGCUAUUCGCACGUCCAGUCCUGCUGCAAACACGCUGCUAUUGAUGUUUACAUUUAAACAACUGUUAAAACAAACUUGCUCUAAAAAAUUGUGAGUCACAGCAUUUGUCAGACUGCCAGCAGUUUUUUUUUUAAAUUUUAUUUUUAGCUACUCACCUUCUAAUUCCACAGUCUCAAAAGUCAGAAGAAGAAGAAGAAGAAGGAUGUGAGACAUUUCUGUUGAAUAACUCACAACUGACCCUCCUGAAGCUGCUGGAAACUCGAUUUGUGUAAAUCUGGUGUCGUGCCAAAAGCAGUCUGAGGCAAGGGGCAGUCUGCUGCGUUCAGGGACACACCCACCUGAACAUCAGCCGUCACAGCGUGCUUUCAACCCUGAAGCUGCACUCAAUGUUUCUCUCUCCUGUUUUUGUUGUUUUUGUAGGAGAAAGCACAAAGUGAACACGGGAAAGUGCCUCGAGCCCACAUUCAUGACACCCUAAAAUGAUCCUUAUUUAGGUUUUGUAUUGUUUAAUUGUUUUUUUUUAAUUUAUUAUUCCACUGUAGAUGCUGUAGAAAUAAUAUCUGCUUUCCGUCUGUGUAUUUUUGUAAAUAUCUUGUGUAAUGACAAUGAACCUUAUUGAAUCUUCAGUGUGAAUCAGUAACCAGCAUCAACAUUUAGACAACAAAGUUAACUUAGCAUGGUUCAAACAGAGCUCAC
ensembl:lncRNA